UGAAUCAUUUUCNGAGGACAGCCUAC
rnacentral:piRNA from 1 species